rnacentral:rRNA from 1 species
UACGUAGGGACCAAGCGUUGUCCGGAAUCAUUGGGCGUAAAGAGCGUGUAGGCGGCUUGUUAAGUCUUGCGUGAAAUCUCGGGGCUCAACCCCGAGCGGUCGUGAGAAACUGGCAGGCUAGAGUGCGGGAGAGGAGAGUGGAAUUCCUGGUGUAGCGGUGAAAUGCGCAGAUAUCAGGAAGAACACCCGUGGCUAAGGCGGCUCUCUAGUACGGUACUGACGCUGAGACGCGAAAGCGUGGGAGCGAACAGG